GCGGACGUGUUGGAAUUGGCAGACAAGCAAGCUUGAGGAGCUUGUGGGCUCAAAAACCCGUGGAGGUUCAAAUCCUCUCGUCCGCACCA
rnacentral:tRNA from 1 species